ACUUAUAAAACUUAAUCCCCCAAGUUUGGCAUUCUUCCAACUUAAAAGAGAAUGAGGGAUAACAAAACCAGCGGUCCCCGUGCAAAAUCGGAGGGAGGAAAACACCACAAAAUCCCCGCUGAUCAACUAACCUAGAUUCUCGCUCCCAGUAUGGUAUAGCUAGUGUUGCUCUUCCUACAGCUAUCUGAGGACAAUCUUGAUUAUAUAUCCAAUGUUAUAUGAGCAUUACUUUCGUGGUCGUAAAAGCCUCCAUAUCUAAAUGGUCGCAGAAAAAUUUGUCCCCGCUUGGUCAGGACUCUGACUUUGUCUCUGGUGACAUAUACUUCUUCUAGUCAUCUAUAUUAUGUUAGUGCAGUUGCCGUCAAAGUUAGCUUGAAGGUACCCUGAUGGGUUAAGGUCAAGAAUUAAGAAUACAAGUAGAGGAUGCUUUUGAGCCUAAAGAAUAACUAUGGGCAACAUAAGAAAACCAUAACAGACAGAAAAUAAAGAAAAGAAGCAGCAUGUUCAUCUUGAAAGUUUGUUCAGAAAUAGCAGAGCGGUCAAGUUCCAUUUUCUGGCAAGUUGAUAUGGGGGGCCUGUACAGCUGCAAUUUAAUUGCCUGUUUCAUCAUUGCUUUGCACCGGAAGGGAAUUGAACCCAUGUCCGUUUCGGUUGAUGUCAAAGCACUGCCCCCUUUACUCAUAUUUUAGUCUCAAUAAGCAGCCGCACUUUGUAAAAAGAAUUUAAAAGCAGACCAUCUGUUGAAGGACGAAUUUUGGCUGGACUAUACAUCAGGAAAAUACUAAAUUGGGGAUCUUAAUUCUAAUGUCACUGUAUAGGUGAACAGAACACAAAAUCCAGAGACCUCUUACCAGUAGCCCUCUGACCUUGUUGGCCAUAUGAGUCGUAGAGGAUCGUUCUCAGCCAAAUUCUGGUUUUUCUUCUCUUUUUUUCCUUUCCUUUUCAGAGGGGGUCGGCAUGCUGUUUUCUGACGGAUUAUAUUCUUUUUAUCACAUUCCCUUUUGCAUUCAUGUCUGUGUUCUCAGCCAGAUUCUUGUUGAUCUCGUUCCCCCUUUGCAUGAUCAUCAUGUUAGCACAACUCGGACUGUGCUUUUUACAGCUGGUCAUCUCUAGAUGGAUUUAGUGAUGUCCCUCUAGUUCAUUUUCCACCUAAGAAAUGUCUAUGCCCGCACUUCUUGCUAAACAGUCUUGAGAAUGUCUUACAUAUUUAGACGUUGAAACUGAGACAGGUGAACCGGAGAAAAGCAUAGUCCACAAGUACUAUGACUAUGUGAAGGAUUACCCUCAAAGCUGGUACUAGUCCACAAGUACAAUAAAAAG